GUCUUCGUGGCUCAGUUGGUUAGAGCGUUGGUCUCAUAGUUCAUCUAUGACUUGAAGGUUAUAACCUCCAAGAGAUCCAAUCCAAAGGUCGUGAGUUCGAGUCUCACCGAGGACA